rfam:Schistosoma haematobium scaffold236_21, whole genome shotgun sequence.
AGUUCUUCGUAUCCGUGCUGAGAUUUCGUCAGACACCAACCCAUUAAGGCUGAUCAUACUCCCAAGAUAAGUGAAGUU